GCCACUGUAGCUCAGUUGGUAGAGCACCUCACUCGUAAUGAGGUGGUCCACGGUUCGAGUCCGUGCAGUGGCU
rnacentral:tRNA from 1 species